UCUUUUUGGAGGCACUCAGGGCUAUGAGAUUUCCUCUUAGGACUGCUUUCAUUGUGUUUCAUAAGUUUGGGUAUGUUGUGGCUUCAUUUUCAUUAAACUCUAAAAUGUCUUUAAUUUCUUUAUUUCUUCCUUGACCAAGGUAUCAUUGAGUAGAGUGUUGUUCAGUUUCCACGUGAAUGUUGGCUUUCUAUUAUUUAUGCUGUUAUUGAAGAUCAGCCUUAGCCUGUGGUGAUCUGAUAGGGUGCAUGGGAUAAAUUCAAUAUUUUUGUAUCUGCUGAGGCCUGUUUUGUGACCAGUUAUAUGGUCAAUUUUAGAGGAGGUACCAUGAGGUGCUGAGAAGAUAUAUCCUUUUGUUUUAGGAUAAAAUGUUCUGUAGAUAUCUGUUAAACCCAUUUGUUUCAUAACUUCUGUUAGUGUUCAUGUGUCUCUGCUUAGUUUCUGUUUCCAGGAUCUGUCCAUUGGUGAGACUGGGGUGUUGAAGUCUCCCACUAGUAUUGUGUGAGGUGCAAUGUGUGCUUUGCGCUUUACUAAAGUUUCUUUAAUGAAUGUGGCUGCCCUUGCAUUUGGAACAUAGAUAUUUAGAAUUGAGAGUUCAUCUUGGUAGAUUUUACCUUUGAAGAGUAUGAAGUGCCCCUCGUUGUCUUUUUUGAUAACUUUGGGCUGGAAGUCAAUUUUAUUUG
rnacentral:lncRNA from 1 species